CAGCACCUCAAGUGGGCAGGAUGAUUAUUGGGCCUAAAGCAUCCGUAGCCGGCUCUGUAAGUUUUCGGUUAAAUCCGUACGCUCAACGUACAGGCUGCCGGGAAUACUGCAGAGCUAGGGAGUGGGAGAGGUAGACGGUACUCGGUAGGAAGGGGUAAAAUCCUUUGAUCUAUUGAUGACCACCUGUGGCGAAGGCGGUCUACCAGAACACGUCCGACGGUGAGGGAUGAAAGCUGGGGGAGCAAACCGGAUUAGAGACCCGAGUAGUCC
rnacentral:rRNA from 1 species